GACGUAGGUGGCGAACGUUAUUCGGAAUUAUUGGGCGUAAAGGGUGCGUAGGUGGCCUGACAAGUUAUCAGUGGCAAAUCGAGGCUCAACCUCGUGGAAACUGGUAAUACUGUUCGGCUUGAGUACAGGAGAGGUUAACGGAACUCUAUGUGGAGCGGUAAAAUGCACAGAUAUAUAGAAGAACAUCAAUAAAGGCGAAGGCAGUUAACUAUUCUGUUACUGACGCUGAGGCACGAAAGCGUGGGGAGCAAAACGG
rnacentral:rRNA from 1 species